UACGGAGGGUGCAAGCGUUAUCCGGAUUCACUGGGUUUAAAGGGUGCGUAGGUGGUCUGGUAAGUCAGUGGUGAAAUCUCCGAGCUUAACUUGGAAACUGCCAUUGAUACUAUCAGUCUUGAAUAUUGUGGAGGUCAGCGGAAUAUGUCAUGUAGCGGUGAAAUGCUUAGAGAUGACAUAGAACACCAAUUGCGAAGGCAGCUGACUACGCAUAUAUUGACACUGAGGCACGAAAGCUAGGGUAGCGAACGGG
rnacentral:rRNA from 1 species